rnacentral:sRNA from 1 species
CGCUGAGCUUGGCAAGGUCACCGUGGAUCGUGGCCUGAUGAUGGUAGGUCUUCCAGAUCCGCUCCAUCGAUGCACCUCGCUUCCCCCUUGCUGUCAGCCGCCCGCAAAGGCGUAUCCAACGACAAAGCAGAGAUACCAGGGAGUAAGUGAGAUGGCUGAUCGUGAGCAGGGUACUGUGAAGUGGUUCAAUGACGCCAAGGGCUUUGGCUUCAUCAGCCGCCAGAACGGUGAAGAUGUGUUCGUGCACUUCCGUGCGAUUGAAACCCAGGGUUUCAAGAGCCUCAAGGAAGGCCAGUCGGUGAGCUUCGAAGUCGUGCAGGGCCAGAAGGGCCUGCAGGCCGACAAGGUCCAGCCGGUCUGAUCCGGCAGGCCACCGCGCACGCGUGGUAACGAAGAAGGCCCGCGCAAGCGGGCCUUCUUCUU